UCCUUGUCUUCCACCUCUUCGAUCUAUCUUCGCCACUCUCCGCCUUCCACUCUCAGUCUCGUGUUUGGAGAUCUGAAGCUCUCCAUCAAUGGCGUCUCCCUGGAUCCUCCCUUCUUCUCUUAUUCAGAAGCUCGUCGCCUUCAAAGACCCCGCCCCGAUUCAUCCGAUCUCAUCCUCCUCACCUCUCGACUCCUUCACCUCCGAUCCCAUCUUCUCCGCCUUCCUCUAGCCGGACUUCGACUAAGCCAGCUUCUCCUCCAAGGCCCUUAGCUCCGAAUCCGUGACUGCUCGCACGAAGUCCCUCCAUAUAUCCAUCUGCCUCCUCUACUGGCAUCUCCGAUCGGAGAAUUAUGGAGAAUGAUAUAUUCAAGGAAUACUGGAGAACAAGAAAAAGAGUUCAGAUAUUUUAGUAUGCAUGUUUGAACUGGAGCCUUGCACUUUGUUUGCUCCUCAUGGUGAUGCUUGUCGAAGUAGAGAAACAUCAUCAAAUUCCAGUGAUGAAUAUGAUGACCAGGCUUCCUUUUCUUCUCCCCUGCUUUAGAAUGAGAAUAUUCAGUAGUAGAGAAUGCUGACAAAGAAUUAAGUGGUGGGGAAAAAUCAUCCUUCACGACCAAGGUUUGAUGUUGAUAAGAAGAUGAAGUACUAGAAAAAGGUAGAUGCUAAACCAUGUGUUAGUUAUGGCUUGUGAUUGUUCCAAAGCUUGGUCAUAAUCAUCUGUUAAAAUGUUAUAUAAUUUGAAGGCUAGUUCUUAUAACAAGGAGAUUGGCAUGACUCUUGUUGUCCCAGGGCUCUACAUAAGAAGGAUCCCAAGUCAAAAGGACCAACAAGGAUGCAGUUCUUCCUUAUAUUCUUUGAGGCGCGCUUUGCUUACUAUGCUCUACAUGAGAAAGAUAGUAGAUAUUCCAAGAUUGCUAAUGAUUAUCAGUCACUUGAACAGGUAUUAGAGUUUUGUGAUCGUUUUCCACUGGUUGGUGCUUAGUGAUUAGUAAUUUUGUGCCCGAAUUGUUGUUAUCAACAUAUUGGAUGUUUUCUUAAACUAUUAUAGUGGUGAUUUGUUUUGCUGCCAUUAAGGUCUAAUUUGUUAGUAUUGUUGUGGUGUUCUUUCUUAAAAUCAGAGGAACUUGGGAUUUACUGGCCGUCAUAAAGAACGUAUUCAUCUUCAUGCUUAUUUUUCAUCUAAACACAACAUAAACUGCACUUUAAUAUUUUUAGUGCAGAUCAUAAAUGGAUUGCAAGCAGACUACCAAGACACCAGAGAAGGAUAUAUACCUCAAAAACUGUUUUCAUGGUAGACUUAGAAGAAAACAGUUAGGGCCUUGCUGUGGGGUUAUGUUUAUGUGUGUAUAUAUAUAGGAAUGAAUGUGAUAAUCCAAUACAAAAUGUAAUAAUAAUCCAAAAUAGUAAAAAAUGAAUGUGAUGUUUUGGAUUAUUACAUCAGAUACUUUUAUAACUUUCUAUUGUUACAUUAGAUGUUGAAACUUAUAUUUUGUAUUA